rnacentral:piRNA from 1 species
UGGACAGAACAGUGGGGCCCUGGGCCUGG